rnacentral:lncRNA from 1 species
CAGACUAGAAACAGUGUACAUUAUUUGUACUCACAUUCUAUUGGACAGAAUAUGGCUACAAUGUCUCCCCUAGAAACAAAGUAGGCUUGCAAUGGUGUUUUGCUGCCUGACAAUGAAGCAGAGUAGGCAGUAAGUAUUAUCAGUCUCAACCUCAAAGAAGUUUCUGUUUCAUCUACACCUUUGUCUUAGAGCCUUUUAAUAUGAGUGAAUGAUUUCAUGCUGUCUAUACCUCAAUCUGGAAUGUGGCCUCACAGUGGGAUUGUACUGAGUACAGCAGUGAAUGAUUCUCAGACACACAGUGACGGUGACAGAAUCAAAGACUUGAGCACAAUCAUCAGUGAAAUGACAAUACAGAUCAUCCCACUCCAAAUGGAUAACUAGUUGGACUCUUGGCUUUAACUUCAUGCUUUAUUACCUGGUCAUUCAUCAAUAUUCAAGGACAGGGUACAGCGUCUAUGGAAGACUGGCAAAGACUCUUCUAAGAAGAUGAAAUAUGCACAGAGACUCUUGACCUGCUUUGGUAAGUUAUUUUGCAAAAAGGUUUUGUUGCUUCAGGUAAGUAUCCCUGUGAAUUCCUCAUGCUGUUAGAAUAUUACUAGUGCUGAAUCCAGUCUGUCCUUUUAAUUUCUUUUAUCACCAAAAAAAGAGCCUUUAUUCCCUAAGUAAAAAGGGAUAAAAUCCUUCCCAGAGUAUGUUAGAUGCACAGACAAAGAUGAAAUCAUAUGAUAGAAUACACAAUAAAAUACACAAGUCCAUAUCUGAUUCAAAUUGAUUUUAAUUAAAUAUAAUGCAUGCAAUAGAUUGAAUAUAAAAAGGAACCAGUAUAGUUCUGCUUGAGAUGUGUUUUUUCCCCAUUAAUAAUCUCUACAAAUCUAGGGAAUAUCAUAGAAAAACACAAAAGAUCACUAUAUUGGCCAUAUAAUGUUGCUAUCAUUCAGGGAAAAAGCUAAUUGAAUAACCUCACAUUUCAAUGGCUCAAAUUAUGGAUAAUAGUGGCUUCUUCAGGAAUUCUGUUAGGGAAAGUUACAGAUUAGAAAA